rnacentral:SRP_RNA from 1 species
GCUGGGUGUGGUGGCAGGCACCUGCAGUCACAGCUACUUGGAGGCUGGGGUGAACCACCUGAGCCCAGGAGUUCCAGGCUAUAGAAAGCUACACCAAUCAAGUGUAUGCACUAAGUUUGGCAUCAAUAUGGUGACCUCCUGGGUCAAUCAUUUCCUUGGGGAAAUCACCAGGUUGUCUAAGGAGAGGUGAACAAGUCAAUGUCAAAAAUGAAACAGGUCAAAACUCCUCUGCUGAUCAGUAGUGGGACUAGGCCCGCGAAUAGCUUCUGCAAUUCAGCCUGAGCAACAUAGCAAGACCCUU